rnacentral:rRNA from 1 species
UGAACGCUGGCNGGCAUGCCUUUACACAUGCAAAGUCGAACGGUAGAGUAGCAAUACUUGAAGAGUGGCGAACGGGUGAGUAAUAUAUCGGAACGUGCCCAGUCGUGGGGGAUAACGCAGCGAAAGCUGUGCUAAUACCGCAUACGAUCUCUGGAUGAAAGCGGGGGACUCGCAAGAGCCUCGCGCGAUUGGAGCGGCCGAUAUCAGAUUAGCUAGUUGGUGGGGUAAAAGCCCACCAAGGCGACGAUCUGUAGCUGGUCUGAGAGGACGACCAGCCACACUGGAACUGAGACACGGUCCAGACUCCUACGGGAGGCAGCAGUGGGGAAUUUUGGACAAUGGGCGCAAGCCUGACCCAGCGACACCGCGUGGAGGAUGAAGGCUCUAGGGUUGUAAACUCCUUUUGCCAGGCUCUUCAAGGCCUGGAGAAUAAGCCUCUACUAACUACGUGCCAGAAGUCUCGGUAAUGCGUAGGAGGCAAGCGUUAUCCGGAAUUAUUGGGCGUAAAGAGUGCGUAGGCGGUCUUUCAAGUCCCGACUUAAAUACUAUAGCUCAACUAUAGACAAGGUCGGGAUACUGAUAGACUUCGAGGAUCGUUCGGGGCAUCGGAACAGUUGGUGUAGUGGUGAAAUACGUUGAUAUCAACUGGAACACCGAAGGCGAAGGCAGAUGCCUGGAAUUUUCCUGACGCUGAGGCACGAAAGCUAGGGUAGCGAAACAGAUUAGAGACCUGUGUAGUCCUAGCCGUAAACAAUCUCCGCUAGAUUCUGGUCGUAAGGUCGGAGUCGAAGUUAACACAUUAAGCGGAGCGCCUGGGGAGUACGGCCGCAAGGCUAAAACUCAAAGGAAUUGACGG